rnacentral:tRNA from 1 species
UAGGGUAUAAUGAAAUUGGUAUCAUGCUUGCUUUGGGUGCAAGAAAUUGUAGGUUCAAAUCCUACUACCCUAA